rnacentral:rRNA from 1 species
UACGAAGGUGGCAAGCGUUGUUCGGAUUUACUGGGCGUACAGGGAGCGUAGGCGGUCCAGCAAGUCAGGGGUGAAAGCCCACGGCUCAACCGUGGAAGUGCCUCUGAUACUGUUGGCCUCGAGGGAGGUAGGGGCGUGCGGAACUUCCGGUGGAGCGGUGAAAUGCGUAGAUAUCGGAAGGAACAUCGGUGGCGAAAGCGGCGCGCUGGACCUCUACUGACGCUGAGGCGCGAAAGCCAGGGGAGCAAACGGG